ACCCGCAACCUCAUGGUUCCUAGUCGGAUUUGCUUCCACUGUGCUGCAGCAGGAACUCCUCCCUGUUUUAUUUGCUGUUGCCACUAUGCACAUUUCUGCCUAAAACAGAAACCUGGAAAUCAAUGGAGACGCCUCCCUCUCCCUCGCCCUUCAUGUCAACUUCGUCACCAAGUUGUGUAGCUUCUCUUCAGAAAUCUCUUUAACGCCACCCCUGCUCUCCGUGCCUGCCCCUGCUGUCUUGGUUCAUCAUUUCUCCCUUGGAUAAUUGCUCCACAUCCCAGCUGACGUUCUACCUCUAGAUAAUUCCAGCUUCAACCCCUCCUCUCUGUGGCUGCCAGCAUUCUCUUUCUAAAAACAGAUCAAGAAUGCCAUUUUCUGCCUAAAAGCUUCCAACGGUUUCCCAUUGUCAAUAGAUCCAAUUUUUUUAUUGUAGCACACAGGGCCUGUCAUGGUCUAUGCCGAGUUGAUCUUGCCCCCUGCCUCCCUCGCCGUUGCUCCUCUCACACACUUGGUCUGCCCUCCAUGCCUCUUGCUGUUUCAACCAUGCUGCCUUUGCUUGCGCUCUGCCUUCUCACAUACAAGUCUGCCAUGGUCUGUGUGCUUACAUCCCCCCCCAGGAGUCACACUGAAAUCCUGAUCCCCAAACUGAUGUCUUUAGAGGUGGAGCAGUUAGAAGCUGACUGGGUCAUGAGGACAGAGCCAUCAUGAUGAGAUUAGUGGCCACAGGAGUUCCCGCUGUGGCACAACGGGGGGUCAGGGGCAUCUCUGGAGCACCAGGACGCAGGUUUAAUCCCCAGCCUGCACAGUGUGUUCCUGCAGCUUCAAUGUAGGUUGAAACUGUGGCUUGGAUCUGAUCCCUGGCCUGGGAACUCCAUAUGCUGCCAAAAAAGAGGAAAAAAAAAAAAAAAGAGAAUAAAAUGAGAUGCCAGAAAGCUCCCUCGCCCCCUUUGCCGUGGAGGGUCAUGGUGAAAAGAGCUAUUGAUGAACCAGGAAGUGGGUCCUCACCAGAGACCGAAUCUGCUGGCACUUUGGUGUUAGACUUCCCAGCCCCCCAGAACUGUGACAAAUACAUUUCUAUUUAUAAAGCCACCUACCUGUUAUAUUUUGGUUAUAGCGGCCUGGGUAAACCAAGACAAGGUCCUUGUCCGAGAGUGCUGGUCCUUCUGUCUGGCGCGAUUCUGCUUGGUUGGAAUUCAAGGUCCUGCUCUGCAAAACCUCCCCCCACUGUCAGUUAAAUCGUUGUCCUCCUAAAUGCCCACCUUCUUUUGUCUUUAAAGAACACACAUCACUUUAUUUUGCAGCUAUUUCUCUUCGUCUGCCUGCCUCGACUAGGUUGUAAGGACCUUGAGGCCAAGGAUCACGUCCGAUUCAACCAACGCCUGGCACCAUCCGGCGUAUAUAGGUUUUCAGGGGACGUCUGUUAUUGAAGGAAGAAAUGAAUGACUGAACAAAUGAAUGAGUGAUUUUGGUCCAUGUUUGGGCCUAGCCCUUUCUAAUCUGUGGGUGUAAGCUGCCUUGGGGGUGGGGUGGGGAGCAGGGUGUUGGGAAUACAUUUCUCAGUGCUGUUUAUCGCCAUCUGCCUAGGAUGGUGCGGGGUUGUUGGAUGAGAGCGUGGGUGGAUCAGAUGUACAAAAGGUGCUGGGUUAGGACUGAGUUGGUUUUCUUGGAAUUGAAAAGCCCCAGAUAAGCAUUCCUCUCUCCAUUUUACAGAUGAGGCAACUGAACUUAGAAAGCUUGCCAUACUCUUCCCAGCUACACGGUAGCAUCAGAUUUUCCAAGCGACGGGACGCCAGGAUCUGUGGAACCCCUUUGGUUUUGAGUUGCUGACCGACCGGCACGGAGCCCUCAGCGCACACGGGAUGAGAGUGAUCUCAAGCCGAAUUCGUAUGGAGCUCGGAGCAUCCGAUUUGGAAGUUAGGGGGUUCCUGGUGCCCCAGCAACAGGGAGGACGCAUGAGAAGACACUUUGGAAGAGCUGGACCACUCCAGGGGAGGAAAUGCAAAUGAAAUUGAAUUAAUUAGCCUUUGGAUUGAACUCUGCUUCUUGAGUGUGCUAAGUCUGAUUAAACAAACAACCAAAAAGAUA